rnacentral:rRNA from 1 species
AACGAACGCUGGCGGCAGGCUUAACACAUGCAAGUCGAACGCAUCGCAAGAUGAGUGGCAGACGGGUGAGUAACGCGUGGGAACAUACCCUUUUCUACGGAAUAGCUCUGGGAAACUGGAAUUAAUACCGUACACGCCCUACGGGGGAAAGAUUUAUCGGGGAAGGAUUGGCCCGCGUUGGAUUAGCUAGUUGGUGGGGUAAAGGCCUACCAAGGCGACGAUCCAUAGCUGAUCUGAGAGGAUGAUCAGCCACAUUGGGACUGAGACACGGCCCAAACGCCUACGGGAGGCAGCAGUGGGGAAUAUUGGACAAUGGGCGCAAGCCUGAUCCAGCCAUGCCGCGUGAGUGAUGAAGGCCUUAGGGUUGUAAAGCUCUUUCACCGAUGAAGAUAAUGACGGUAGUCGGAGAAGAAGCCCCGGCUAACUUCGUGCCAGCCGCCGCAGUAACAC